rnacentral:tmRNA from 1 species
GGGGGUGACUGGUUUCGACAGGGAGGGACGUGUUGUCGCUGCAAGCGGAGACCGCCUGACACUCCUAAAACGGGCACCUAAACAUAACUGGCAAUAACGAACUUGCCUUGGCUGCGUAACAGCAGUCACAGUCUCUUCCAGGCCAGUCGAGCGCCUGGUUGCUGACUGACACGCAGCUCGACUGCCGUCGUCCUGAUGCUACUACGGACGACCUAAGACUUAGGUAGCUAGCGCACCCGCGCUGCGCCCGAUUGGGCAACGGUGCGCAAACUUUACAAUCGGGCUAAGCUUGUAGAUGCGAUUGCAUCAACUUUCUGGACGCGAGUUCGAUUCUCGCCACCUCCACUA